CUUCACGGAACAAUGUCUAGCACUCAAAAAAAAUGUCAAAGUUGUCUUUCUUUCUUAUUUUAAUUUGUGUCUGGUUUUGAUGUUUCCCCAAUACUUCUUGGGAUCAAAAAUCAGCAUGGUGAUUUUUGGCGAUGGUCACUGUGAUGGUUAAUGUUAAUUGUCAACUUGAUUGGAUUGAAGGAUGCAAAGUAUUGUUCCAGGAUCUGACUGGGAGAGGCAGACCCAUUCUCAAACUGGGUGGGUACCAUCUAAUCAGCUGCCAGCAUGGCUAGGAUAAAAGCAGGCAGAAGAACACGGAAAGAGGCUAGGCUGGCUAGGUCUUCCAGCCUCCGUUUCUCCUGUGCUGGAUGCUCCUGCCCUUGAACAUUGGACUCCAACUUCUUCAGCUUUUGGACCCUUGGACUUAUACCAGUGGUUUGCCAGGGGCUCUCGGGCCUUCAACCACAGACUGAAGGCUGCACAGCUGGCUUCCCUGCUUUUGAGGUUUUGGGACUCAGACUGGCUUCUUGGCUCCUCUGCUUGCAGAUGACCUAUUGUGGGACCUCACCUUGUGAUCGUGUGUUUUUACGUCCUCAGAGAGGUUAAAAGCCAAAAAAAGCAAUACCUGCCGCCAAAAAGAACAGUAGACAAAUUCCUGAAUCCAAUACGGUUUCAUCCUUCAGGGAUGAGGAAACUGAUGCUCAGAGAAAUGAAG